CCUAACUGGUCAAGUGUAGCCCUUGAGGCAGGAUGGAUUUUGCUUGGGUUCCAUAUUCCUUUUACUUCCAGGAAUGUUUUUGUUGCAAAAACUAAUCCGUUCUUUACGAGAUUAUCCUGAGGUGGCUUCUCAGAAGGUUGAGAAAGAAAUUGAGUUUGGCAGGGCAACCUGUUUUUUAGGUGUCUCCGCUGGGAUUGUUCUUGGAUAGGAGCAGAUAAAUUCCAUCUUAUUCAUCAUUUGUCGCAUACUAGAGGUGGAUCAGUGAAUGAUGGGAUUUGUGCGGUUAGUUAUACUUC